AGAGUUUGAUCCUGGCUCAGGACGAACGCUGGCGGUGCGCCUAAUGCAUGCAAGUCGAACGGUCCCGGUUCGCUUCGGCUUACCGGGAUAGUGGCGGACGGCUGAGUAACACGUAAGUGACCUGUCCCGAAGAGGGGGAUAAUUCCGAGAAAUCGGACCUAAUACCCCGUACGAUCUCCUUCAACACGUUGUAGGAGAUGAAAGGUCCCCGCUUCGGCGGAUGCCGCUUUGGGAGGGGCUUGCGACCCAUCAGGUUGUUGGUGGGGUAAAAGCCUACCAAGCCUAAGACGGGUAGCCGGUGUGAGAACAUGAUCGGUCAGAGGGGGACUGAGACACGGCCCCCACUCCUACGGGAGGCAGCAGCAAGGAAUCUUGCGCAAUGGGCGAAAGCCUGACGCAGCGACACCGCGUGGGGGAAGAAGGCCCCUAGGGUUGUAAACCCCUUUUCUCGGGGAAGAGUAAGGACGGUACCCGAGGAAUAAGGUUCGGCUAACUACGUGCCAGCAGCCCCGGUAAUACGUAAGAACCAA
rnacentral:rRNA from 1 species